CCAAAUAGAGGUCCCUGGUAGUUUUAGUUCCUCGUUUGUUGCCUGUCUCGGGAGAUCUCCGCCUCCUUUCCUUUCUCCUCUCCUUUCUCCUCUCCAGCGGCGAAUGCUUCUUCCCCAACCCCGCCGGAGUGUCUCCUCCCGUCGUCCUCCGCCUGGGGUUCCAAUCCAUGAUGCCAUCUCUGGCUUCAAUGUUUUGCCAUCUCUGGGAACCGCGAUAGUGUUUUUAGGAAAAGGUGCUGCCUUUAUUGCCAUGCUGUCCUUGUAUGACAGGGAAGAGAGUAGUGGAAGUACGGUAGGAAUCAUCAAGAAUGUCGCUCAUCUGCACCAUGUUCGAAGUUUUUGUGUGCACGCGGCUCAUCUGCGCGAGAAUCCACCUCAGGAACUCAAGAAUGUCGCUUGCUGCCGACAUCGCCAGAUCUGACCUUGCCAUUGUUGGCUUUUUUGCUGGAUGAGCUAUUGGGAACAGAGGGAUCAGCUGCAGUAGCAGCGGCUAGAUUGGCAGGAUGGUUUGCGCAGGAAAGGAAGGGAGUAGAUAAGGCACAUGGAUAAUUCAGGAGAUCAGGGAACCAAAAUCCAUGGGCUAGUAUUGUCUGGUAGUCAUAUGUGCAACCGAAUGCAUUCACAGUAUAGUAGCACAUGGGAGACUACCUACAUGAGAACGGCUACCACAUGUUUUGGAUAAGACUUGUACCUUUUUGCCAAUGUUUUUGUUGUUUAUUUUGUUGUCCUUCGUCUUCUUUUGAAAUUGUGUUUAUAUUUGUGUUAAUUGGUGACCAUAUAGGAAUUGAGCUUCUUUGGAGCCCCUCUCUGACUCAUCUUGCUGGUUAUUGUAUGUGUACAGUGUGCCUUGUAGACUACCAAGAGAAGGAUGUCUUGCGCAUUCUACCUUUCUGUCGGCAUACUUUCCAUGUCGUUUGCGUGGAUAUAUGGCUUAAACAGCAUUCAACUCGCCCUGCCUGUAGAAUUUCCUUGCGAGACUCCCUAAUUGAAAGCUCGAUGUAGCCCCUCUACUGCCCAACUGCAAGAUCCUUUUCUCCAUCAAAAACUUUUGUUUCCGAUCCAUGCCAGUUUCAGUUCUCCGACUCCGGUUUUUCUGUUAGUCGGAGAAACCCAGACUCUAUCUUAUUAAGAGGAUCAGUUAGUGCAAUUAUCAACAACACAUUCGGGCCUGCCGGAUUAUUAUCCCCCACCUUGUAUCGAUCAAGUAGUGGAUUCUACUUCUGACUAUAAAUUCAUUUGUAUGCUUGACGCUUAACAAGGAUACUACCAAGUUCCACUUA